UACGAAGGGGGCUAGCGUUGCUCGGAAUCACUGGGCGUAAAGCGCACGUAGGCGGCUUUCUAAGUCAGGGGUGAAGUCCUGGAGCUCAACUCCAGAACUGCCUUUGAUACUGGAGAGCUCGAGUCCGGAAGAGGUGAGUGGAACUCCGAGUGUAGAGGUGAAAUUCGUAGAUAUUCGGAAGAACACCAGUGGCGAAGGCGGCUCACUGGUCCGGUACUGACGCUGAGGUGCGAAAGCGUGGGGAGCGAACAGG
rnacentral:rRNA from 1 species